GAGGACUUUGCAUUGUUCUGCUUCUGUUUUCUGUUCAGAGGGAAAAGACAAAACAAUUCAUAUAUCACGAGACGUUCCCUCUUUUCCCUUCUGCUCGGCCUGGAUGGACGACCUUCCUCAGCAUUAGAGAUUGUUCCCAGCAGGCAUUUUCUACAUACUUGGUCCAGGUCAUGGGAGAUACUCUUUUCUGUGCUUCUUCUCUCCAAGUAGGGAAGAAAGCAUUCCUACUAGAUCUCUCAUGUACUGAAGAAGAGAAUGAAGACUAGAAGAGCUCAUACUGACUCUGAGUCUAGCUUGUAAAAACAAAACGGCAUUGAAAAUGGUAACUUAUUGGAAAAUGGAGAAGUGGAAUGCAAUAAUAUACUUUAUCCUGUUACAAUUAAGAUCAUUAAUGAUAAAGAAGAGAGAUUUCUAAAAACAAAGACUGUCACAAGCCAUGCUACAAGUCAACUGUGGCACCUAAAGCUAACAACACAAUUAACCCAUUCCUCUGCAUAACCAUGAAGUAUGUCAUUGUUCAUGAGCAGGAAUUACUUCUUCCCCAAUAACCUGACAGACAGGAAAAACAAACAGAGUCUGCAAUAGAAUUAUGGAGUGAAUCAGUCUCAUUUUACACUUCAGCAGCCUCCAAUUGCUUUGCAAGAGUGAUAAUCACAUGGACUAAAGAACUAAGAGAACUAGCCUCAAAGGACAUUGCAAUCAAUUUCCUGCUAAAUAAAAUGUGUUUAUCAGUGAUGUUCAUGGGAAAAGUGUCUAUGGAUGCUAACAGCAAUUUAGCCUGCAAAAUGGGAGCUCACACAUUUCCAUCUGUGGCUAUGGACCCUGGAAAUGCAGGUGGUAUAAGAAACCUCAGGUGAACCGUUUGACAAAGAAUUUUAACAUGGUGGGAAGAAGUGGAGCUGAGAUAACAAAGAAGCAAGUGAAGCGUCUUUAUUUUAAGAGUUUUUGGGGAUAACUCUGAAGUAGAUUAGGGUAAAUAGUUUCAGCUAAAAUAUAAAUGUAGCUGAAAAUGUAGGCUAAUCAAAGCUGGAUGUUUUCUGAAGUGAUUCCAGGUCCACCAGUUAAAGAUUAAAUAUUUCUUUAUUGAUGUAAAAUCUUUUUCAUUUUAAUAUUUACAUUUCCUUCAGUUUUGUUUUUAAAAAGUUAUUAUUUUCCUGAGAUUAAUUAUUGAUGAGAUAGCUUUCUUGUUAAAACUGAAAAAAAAAAUCACCUCAAAAUAUAUAUUUUUUUAGAAUUAACAGAAAACUUAGAAAACAAUUCUAGUUCUGUUGAAAGUAGAUGUGAUUCAUGUGGUAAAAAUUCCAUUGAGUUCAGCCAAUUCCAUUGAUUUUCACUGACUGGAAAGGUUUGUAAGUAUUUAGUAAAAGAAUAACAAUCUCUUUUUGAUUCUAUAGUUAUACUAAACCUCUGAAAAAGGUUCAAUCUUUCAAAGGAAAGUAAUCCAAAGUUAAAAAUAGAGAAAAUAAAAUACCAGUUAUUAGCCUGAUUUCCACUAAACGCUAUUUCAAAAUGGAGGGAAAGACAUCGCAUUUAAAAAUCUGCAAAAUUACACAUCUCAGUUGUCUCAUGUGGAACACGGAAUUACUCGAUGAAUAAUGGUAUAAGUAAAAUAAUAAGUAUUUCUUCAGAAAAUAGAGAUGUGUAAAUAUAUUAGAAAUAUAUUUAGAGAAGUGUGAAAUAAACCAGCACUACCUUCUGAGUUUAUCUUAUGAUGAUCAUUUAUUCCAGUAAGAAAGAAAUAUUUCAUUUGAAAUGUAUUGUUGAAUUUUAACGUGAUAUAAUAAAUUGCUUCUUUGUGUUGUAUUAUUUUUA